rnacentral:rRNA from 1 species
ACGGCCAUACCACAUUGAAAACACCGGUUCUCGUCCGAUCACCCAAGUUAAGCAAUGUCGGGCCCGGUCAGUACUUGGGAGGGUGACCACCUGGGAACACCGGGUGCUGUAGGCU